AACGAACGCUGGCGGCAGGCUUAACACAUGCAAGUCGAGCGCCCCGCAAGGGGAUCGGCAUACGGGUGGGUAACGCGUGGGAACGUACCUUUUGGUUCGGAACAACUCCGGGAAACUGGAGCUAAUACCGGAUAAGCCUUAACGGGGAAAGAUUUAUCGCCGAAAGAUCGGCCCGCGUGUGAUUAGCUACUUGGUGAGUUAACGGCUCACCAAGGCGACAGCCAGUCGCUGGUCGGGGAGAAUGACCAGCCACACGGGAUCGGCGGCACGGCCCGGACUCUUACGGGAGGAAGAGGUGGGGAAUAUGGACCAAGGGGCACAAGCUGGAUCAAGCAAAGCGGAGUGGGGGAUGAAGGCCUUAGGGUUGUAAAGCUCUUUUGUCCGGGAAGAUAAUGACUGUAGCGGAAAAAUAAGCCCCGGCUAACUUCGUG
rnacentral:rRNA from 1 species